rnacentral:rRNA from 1 species
AUUGAACGCUGGCGGCAGGCCUAACACAUGCAAGUCGAGCGAGCGGCGGACGGGUGAGUAAUGUCUGGGAAACUGCCUGCUGGAGGGGGAUAACUACUGGAAACGGUAGAUAAUACCGCAUACCAUCAGAUGUGCCCAGAUGGGAUUAGCUAGUAGGUGGGGUAACGGCUUACCUAGGCGACGAUCCCUAGCUGGUCUGAGAGGUUGACCGGCCACACUGGAACUGAGAAAGGGGCCAGACUCCUCGGGGAGGCAGCAGUGGGGAAUAAUGCACAAUGGGCAAAAGCCUGAUGCAGCCAGGCCGCGUGUGGGAAGAAGGCCUUCGGGUUGGAAAGCACUUUCAGCGGGGAGGCGUUACCCGCAGAAGAAACACCGGCUAACUCCGUGCCAGCAGCCGCGGUAAUAC